rnacentral:rRNA from 1 species
ACGCUCGACACCUACGGGGGCAGCAGUGGGGAAUAUUGCACAAUGGGGGAAACCCUGAUGCAGCGACGCCGCGUGGAGGAAGAAGGUCUUCGGAUUGUAAACUCCUGUUGUUGGGGAAAAAGAGGAUGGUACCCAACAAGGAAGUGACGGCUAACUACGUGCCAGUAGCCGCGGUAAUCUGAGCGGGCUGGCAAGGC